CAAUAAGCGGAGGAAAAGAAACCAACAGGGAUUGCCCUAGUAACGGCGAGUGAAGCGGCAACAGCUCAAAUUUGAAAUCUGGCUACUUUGUAGUCCGAGUUGUAAUUUGUAGAGGAUGCUUUUGGUGAAGUGCUUUCUGAGUUCCCUGGAACGGGACGCCAGAGAGGGUGAGAGCCCCGUACAGUUAGCAACUGAUCCUUUGUAUAGCUCCUUCGACGAGUCGAGUAGUUUGGGAAUGCUGCUCUAAAUGGGAGGUAUAUCUCUUCUAAAGCUAAAUAUAGGCUAGAGACCGAUAGCGCACAAGUAGAGUGAUCGAAAGAUGAAAAGCACUUUGAAAAGAGAGUUAAACAGCACGUGAAAUUGUUGAAAGGGAAGCGCCUAUGACCAGACUUGUCUCUAUCAGUUUUGGUAGUUUUCGGACUGCUUUACUCUGUUAGUACAGGCCAACAUCAGUUUGUUGUCGGGGAGAAAGGCUUAGGGAAUGUGGCUCCCUCGGGAGUGUUAUAGACCUUUGCAUAAUACCCUUCGGCAGACUGAGGACCGCGCUUCGGCAAGGAUGUUGGCGUAAUGG
rnacentral:rRNA from 2 species